rnacentral:rRNA from 1 species
UACGUAGGGCGCAAGCGUUAUCCGGAAUUAUUGGGCGUAAAGAGCUCGUAGGCGGUUUGUCGCGUCUGCCGUGAAAGUCCGGGGCUCAACUCCGGAUCUGCGGUGGGUACGGGCAGACUAGAGUGAUGUAGGGGAGACUGGAAUUCCUGGUGUAGCGGUGAAAUGCGCAGAUAUCUGGAGGAAUACUGGUGGCGAAGGCGGCAUCCUGGACCGGCAUUGACGCUGAGGAGCGAAAGCCAGGGGAGCAAACGGG